AAAUUGAAGAGUUUGAUCAUGGCUCAGAUUGAACGCUGGCGGCAGGCCUAACACAUGCAAGUCGAACGGUAACAGGAAGCAGCUUGCUGCUUCGCUGACGAGUGGCGGACGGGUGAGUAAUGUCUGGGAAACUGCCUGAUGGAGGGGGAUAACUACUGGAAACGGUAGCUAAUACCGCAUAAUGUCGCAAGACCAAAGAGGGGGGACCUUCGGGCCUCUUGCCAUCGGAUGUGCCCAGAUGGGAUUAGCUUGUUGGUGGGGUAACGGCUCACC
rnacentral:rRNA from 1 species